GUGCCAGCAGCCGCGGUAAAACGUAGGACGCAAGCGUUAUCCGGAAUUACUGGGCGUAAAGCGCGUGUAGGCGGGUAUUUAAGUCACUGUUGAAAGCUCUUGGCUAAACUGGGAGAGGUGCGGUGAUACUGGAUACCUAGAGGGGGUCAGAGGGAUGCAGAAUUCCGGGUGUAGUGGUGAAAUGCGUAGAGAUCCGGAGGAAUACCAGAGGCGAAGGCGGCAUCCUGGGACUUCACUGACGCUGAGACGCGAAAGCAUGGGGAGCGAACGGGAUUAGAGACCCCGGUAGUCCAUGCCGUAAACGAUGCAGAUUAGAUGUGCGUGUGUCUACGGACACAUGUGUGUCGCAGCUAACGCGAUAAAUCUGCCGCCUGGGGAGUACGGUCGCAAGGCUAAAACUCAAAUGAAUUGACGG
rnacentral:rRNA from 1 species